CUUUUUUUCUUUUAAUUUGAAGUCCCCCCCCAAAUUAUUAUAAUUUAAGUUCUGUUAAAUAGUCUCAGGGGUGAGAAAAAAACUGCUCACGACUGCGUGCCCCCUUUUUCUCCGCUGUCCCAAAAGAGUAUUUUUUUCUUUUAAUUUGAAGUUUGAUUCGCCCUGUUAUUAAUGAAUAAAGGAAAAGAUAAAUGUUUUAAUAUAUGGAUGGCCCCCCCCAAAUUAUUAUAAUUUAAGUUCUGUCAGAAGGAUUUGAUAAAAUUUGAACAGUCUAAAAGGUAUAAUUAAAAUGGGGGUUUUUUGAUAAAAAGAUAACAUAAAUUUAAAAGACGAGAAGACCAAAUAGAGUUUUAUAAUUAGAAACAAACAAUAUUUAAAUAAAAUCAUAAUGCAAGAAUUAAGAAAUAGUCUCAGGGGUGAGAAAAAAACUGCUCACGACUGCGUGCCCCCUCCUUUGCCCAGCUCUACCCACGCCACGGCCUCGCCGUGCGCGCGAACAU
rnacentral:rRNA from 1 species